AACACAGCAAAAUGGUUCCCUGGAAUUCAUUUCCAUUACAAGUCAUAUACCAAGUACUGGAUUCUGCUCUUGUGAUUCUGCUCAAGCUCAAUUCAAGUAUGUAUGACAGUCAUCAAAUAUUUCCCCCAGCGUGGAAAUCAAAAGUUCUCCAAAUAUGCCAUUGCAAUAACUGCUGUCGUGUGGUUCAGUGCUGCUGUUUGUUUUUUCAUAGCAUUACCUAGCCAGUCUUGGCUUUGGCUAAUCUCCAUCUUCAAGCAAGUUUCACUCUUAUUAUGACUCAAAUUUUUCAAUCUAUCC